UGAGAGAAAUCCGAAAAAGUUAAAAUAACAUUCCGGAAAUGUUUAUUUUACCCUGCAGUAUUGAUCCGAAAUCGGUGUAAAUAUUACCCUUUUUAGGUGUAAUAGGGGUUAAAGUUACCCUUUUCCAUGUUAAUUUUACCCUUAAAAAGGUGUAAAAUUAACAUUAAAAAUGUUGAUAUAUUUUUACACCUAAAAAGUGUUAAAGUUAUGAGGAAAAAAAGUUAAUCGCACCCUCUUUUUUUCUCAGUGUAAUAAUAAUAAUUUUCCCGAUCCAAUCGAAGCAUAUUAAACUAGCCCCUCUCAACAUCCCCGCUCUCCUCUAUUCCCAUACAUACCUAUGUAUAUUGCAAAACAAAUCUCAUCAAUGAUUUUAAUGACGGUUCGAAUCUCUGCUUACCUUUCCUUGUGUACAUAUACCUCUGCGAUCGUAGUGUUUGGUAGUGUUACUUCUGUAAUCAUCAGUAUUUGUCACUGGAGUUCGUUACACAGUUUGUUACAGGGUGAUGGUCUAAACUCGGUAGGAGCAAUUAGGGAAAUUUUAGUCCUCAGGCAUAAAUUAGGUUGGCCUCUAAAGGAUUAUCAUUAAAUGAUUUCUUUUAUCUAUACUUAAUGAUAAGGAUCUUAAUGUGAUUUCUUCUCGAUAUGGUGUGAAUAUCAAUGGAUUUUCUUACAUCUACAUUCUCAUGUUUAUAUGUAUUACUUCUGACUUUGUCUCUCUUCCUCGGCAUAUGGCGCGUCUAUAUGGAUUACAUAUAUAGGUAUAUAUUAUGCCAUGUAUAUUAUGUAUCGCUGACUGUGGGAAAUUACGUUAAGUUUUCUCAGUGAAUUGUGCGACCGUUUGUUGAAUGUGAAUGUAAGUUGGUUCUUCUUGUCUCACUUUGACCCAAUGUCCUGCUGUAUUUUCCUUUUCAGCCGUGAAAUCCUACAUUUUGGUAUUAAAUAAGAAUUUCACGUUUAUCCAUCUCGCUCUUUUUUCAACAUUUUCAUCUUUUUCUCACAGUUGAUGUUAUGUUUAAAAAUUGCUGGAUUUUCUCUGUGAAUUUAUCUACCUCAAGCCACAGAUACAUGCGCAUUAAGAUGUUGGUAUAACAAAAAUGCUUCUAGGGUGUAUUGAAGAGUGAGAAUUUCAGUUGUUCAGCGGCAACCGUUACUGGUUUACGGGUCUCUUGGCCUCGGUUCGCGUUGAAAAUUCCCCAAAAAAAGUCUUUUUCUCAAUUCUUUUCUUCAUCCCCCUCCUCCUUAAGAGACUGUUCUAGAUUAGUAGAAUAUAUUUUUCUUAGUUUUUUUUUUGUGAUUCUUUCAAUAAAUUUCUGCUUCAUUUGAAUUAAAAAAAGGAAAUAAAGUUGUUUUUCCUUGUGUAAAAAAUUUUGGGUUGUGGAAAGAAAUUUCGGGAAAGAAACGUUCUAAUUGAAGUUUAAUGCUACGGAAGUUGAGUGACUCUUGAGAAAAUUAGGUGAAAAUUUCAACUCAUUUCUUGUGAAUAAAAUAUUGAAGAAAAAAAAUUACAAUAAAGUGCAAAAGUGUGAGUGUUUCAUAAAAAAAAACAUUUUUCUCAUAUACUAAAUCAAAGAGGAAUAGAGAUAAAUAGUUAAAAGUAAAGGUGGUUGGAAAGAGAAAAGCAUAAAAGUGUAUCCAAAACGCCCCAAAAGCCAUUCAAUACGGUGACUCAGGAAUAAAGCAAAAAUUGAGAUAAUUCAAAAGUUCUUGAGACUAGAAAUGAAUCUCAUCGAUAAAUGUGGAUGUGUGCCAUAGUCGGAAAGGAAUUUGUAAUAAUUGUGGAAACCUCAUUCUCAAAAACGGAAUUAGAGAGUGAUAGAUUCGGUGAACAAAUAGCGAAUCUCAAUAGAAGACGUAAGAAAAAGUGUGUUAAUUUGACAAAACUGUGAGAAAAACAUAAUUCUAUCAUAAUGGGAAACUCUUCGUCAUCACAUCACGAGCCACUGGAUCGAGGUGGUUUCACAAGAGGCACUUACGGAGAUGUGAAAUCGGCCUCAAUUCGUCAGAGUAAGAAAUCUCCGCGCAAAAUGGAUCGUCUGAGGCGUUCCUUUCGUGAUUCUUUCCGGAGGCGAAAAGAACGAGUGCCAGAAUCAUCCAAGCCUCAUCAGUGGCAGGCAGAUGAGGCUGCUGUAAGAUCUGCCACAUGCUCCUUUGCUGUUAAAUACCUUGGCUGUGUGGAAGUCUAUGAAUCACGAGGAAUGCAAGUUUGUGAGGAAGCCCUCAAAGUCUUAAGGAAUUCCAGGCGGCGUCCGGUUCGUGGGUUGCUCCACGUGAGCGGAGAUGGACUUCGUGUGGUGGAUGAUGAGACAAAGGGAUUAAUAGUGGAUCAGACAAUUGAGAAGGUGAGUUUCUGUGCUCCGGACAGGAACCAUGAGCGUGGCUUUAGUUACAUUUGCCGCGAUGGAACAACCAGGCGCUGGAUGUGUCAUGGUUUUCUGGCCAGCAAGGAUUCCGGAGAGCGUCUGUCCCAUGCUGUUGGAUGUGCAUUUGCUGUGUGCCUGGAAAGGAAGCAGCGACGGGACAAGGAAUGUGGCGUCACGAUGACAUUUGAUCUCAAGAAUUCCACAUUCACCCGUAGCGGAUCAUUCCGGCAGCAAUCACUGACGGAGCGCUUGGCCGAGGGGACAGCUCCAACUGCAACGGUUGCUCCUCAGCCCAAACCCUUCAAUCCCUUUGCAAUUGAACGGCCCCAUGCCACUCCAUCGAUGCUGGAACGUCAGGGAAGUUUUCGGGGUUUCAACACCCUGGGCAGUGGAUCACCGUUCAAGCGACAAAUGUCUCUACGCAUUAAUGAUCUUCCGUCCAAUGCUGAGCGUUUGAGGGCAUUUGAUCUAGCCACACCACAGAGCCAGAGAUCUGUGUCGCCAAUUCCCGAGGUUCAGCAUGGGCUGGACACGGUGAGUCAGCUGUGUCAGGAAAUGAGUCAGGAACUGAGCUUUCUGGCCAAGAGUGACGAUCUUGAAUUCCCAAAGACAGCACCAGACACCAAAUCACCACCACUCUUGCUCAAUUCCACACCUUCUAGUCCUGAUGGUGCAGCUGGGGCAGAAUCUGUGACCAGCAAUUGUACAGCUACAACAACAUCACCAACAGCUUAUGUACAGCCAAGAACAAGUCGCUCACCACCUGCAGCGACCAUUCCAUCCCCCACGAAAGUUCUGCCCAUUGAUCCAACUGCCCAGCUGCCCAAUGCCGAUCAGUGGUUGGGUCAGGUGGCCCCAAAAGUCUCCCCAACUCCUCCCAAGCGAGCCCCAAUGCUGCAUGCACGUGCUAAGUCCCUUAGCAGUGCAGCUGAUCCCUUCGAUGCCGAAUGGGUGGCACCUAUCGUAAAAACUGACCAGGGACACAAUACCAAUCCCUUCAUAUCACCACCCAAACCACCGGCUGAGUCAUUCCAGGUGCAGCUCUAAAGAACGAAUUCUCAUGAUGCUCUUCGCAAACGCACCAGAGUAGCUUCUAUUCGUGAGAGACUUCCCCAUUGAGGUGUCCAUUAUUUAGGAUUGAUAAGAGGAUCUAUUUAGAGGCAAGGAUGCAGCUAGGAUUUAGCAAGACAGGAGCCAAGUUGGAAAACUAUCCCCAAAAGAAAUCGUUUUUUUUUUUGAACGCAACAAAGAACAAAAGUUUCCUAAAAUAUUUGUAAAAAUUAGGUGAAUUAUUGUGACGUUGAGCUUAAUUAAAAAUCAAUAAAAGGAAAAGGGAAUC